GCUCAUUAAAUCAGUUAUCGUUUAUUUGAUAGUACCUUCUACUUGGAUACCUGUGGUAAUUCUAGAGCUAAUACAUGCUAAAAACCCCGACUUCGGGAGGGGUGUAUUUAUUAGAUAAAAAACCAAUGCCCUCCGGGGCUCCUUGGUGAUUCAUAAUAACUUAACGAAUCGCAUGGCCUUGCGCCGGCGAUGGUUCAUUCAAAUUUCUGCCCUAUCAACUUUCGAUGGUAGGAUAGUGGCCUACCAUGGUUUCUACGGGUAACGGGGAAUUAGGGUUCGAUUCCGGAGAGGGAGCCUGAGAAACGGCUACCACAUCCAAGGAAGGCAGCAGGCGCGCAAAUUACCCAAUCCCGACACGGGGAGGUAGUGACAAUAAAUACUGAUGCAGAGCUCUUUCGGGCUUUGCAAUCGGAAUGAGAACAGUGUAAACACCUUAACGAGGAACAAUUGGAGGGCAAGUCUGGUGCCAGCAGCCGCGGUAAUUCCAGCUCCAAUAGCGUAUAUUAAAGUUGUUGCAGUUAAAAAGCUCGUAGUUGAAACUUGGGCCUGGCUGGCCGGUCCGCCUAACCGCGUGCACUGGUCCGGCCGGGCCUUUCCUUCUGGGGAACCGCAUGCCCUUCAUUGGGUGUGCCGGGGAACCAGGACUUUUACUUUGAAAAAAUUAGAGUGUUCAAAGCAGGCCUUUGCUCGGAUACAUUAGCAUGGAAUAAUGGAAUAGGACGCGCGGUUCUAUUUUGUUGGUUUCUAGGACCGCCGUAU
rnacentral:rRNA from 1 species